AGUGAACGCUGGCGGUAGGCCUAACGCAUGCAAGUCGAACGGCAGCACAGUAAGAGCUUGCUCUUACGGGUGGCGAGUGGCGGACGGGUGAGGAAUACAUCGGAAUCUACUUUUUCGUGGGGGAUAACGUAGGGAAACUUACGCUAAUACCGCAUACGACCUACGGGUGAAAGCAGGGGAUCUUCGGACCUUGCGCGAUUGAAUGAGCCGAUGUCGGAUUAGUUAGUUGGCGGGGUAAAGGCCCACCAAGGCGACGAUCCGUAGCUGGUCUGAGAGGAUGAUCAGCCACACUGGAACUGAGACACGGUCCAGACUCCUACGGGAGGCAGCAGUGGGGAAUAUUGGACAAUGGGCGCAAGCCUGAUCCAGCCAUACCGCGUGGGUGAAGAAGGCCUUCGGGUUGUAAAGCCCUUUUGUUGGGAAAGAAAAGCAGCAGGUUAAUACCCCGCUGUUCUGACGGUACCCAAAGAAUAAGCACCGGCUAACUUCGUG
rnacentral:rRNA from 1 species